GCCUACGGGAGGCAGCAGUAGGGAAUCUUCCACAAUGGACGCAAGUCUGAUGGAGCAACGCCGCGUGAGUGAAGAAGGUUUUCGGAUCGUAAAGCUCUGUUGUUGGUGAAGAAAGAUAGUGAGAGUAACUGCUCAUUAUUUGCCGGUAAUCAACCAGAAAGUCACGGCUAACUACGUGCCAGCAGCCGCGGUAAUAAU
rnacentral:rRNA from 1 species